AAAAGCUGAGGGUGCGACGGCAUCCGCGGAUGUAGGCGAGCCAGCUCGGAGAGGAUGGAUGCUGACGGGCGGGAAACCGAGAUAUUGGCGCCCCCGCUUGCCGCACUGGCACGGUCGCCAUCGUCAGCCCUGACGUUUUCGCCGCUGCAGCGAGAACCGAGGGCCGCAAGUUGAAGAAUCUUGGGGAAACAGCCAUUACGAGUGAGAGCCAAAGCAGCACAGACAUAAGGCGAGCCAUGCGGCGCGUCGCUUCGCUUUAUCGGCGCCCCGCCGACAACUUCAGGCGGGCAGCGGUUACGACGUGUCAACACCGAACGGAGGAGACCAUUAAGCGCGGCGCCCUCGUCGUACGAGGCGAAGGCGAGCGGGCGAACUCGGCCGGGGUCAGCCAUAUACACGGGAUACAGCGCGCUCACGCUCGCCGCGUCAAAAAAAAAAAAAAAAAAGAUGGCUGCGCCCUCCUCGGAAAAGCGCGCACUCGGAGCAGCGGGAGCGAGCUGCUUUUCGCAGCUGCCGCGAUGCACGACGAGGAAGCAGACUGCGGGAGCGAAGGUCAGGGUCCGAACAGCGCUGUGCCGCCGCCGCUGCUGCGGCAGCAGCGUCAACGCACGCCUCCGACCGCGAUGACAUCGUCCGCCGGCGGGUCGACAGCGAAUGCGACGUUCUGGGUGUGUUGCAGAGAGGGACGAUGCAAAACGCUUCCUUUUGGCCCGCGGGAUCAAAAAACAAGCAGCGCAGAGAUGGAACGUGGACAGAAAAAUAGUGCAAGCAGGCACGAAUAAAAAGGGAGUCGCGCUGACGUCCCACCGCACGGGCUAUAUCAUGCAGUGUGAAAGAGCGAGUGAGUUGAGGAGACGGCGUGGUGCGGAUGUGUGAGGGUGACGCGCAUUAUCCAUAGCAGGGCCGCGCCACGCUCGGAUUUUUAGACAGAAUUCCUUCGCGAUUAUUUUACUGGCCUCGACGGAAUCUGAGGAACCCGAGAUGGCGGCUCGGGACGGUCGGGCGAACCGGAGCGCUCUGGCGCAGCGGCACCGCGUUCGCUGUUUGUGUUCCGCGCGCCGGCGGGGUUCACUGGCCCCGUGCAAAUCGACGACACGGACGCCUUAUCUCCCGUGCACGUGAGCGUCCUGGGAGUUUUUCGGAGGAGCGCAGUAUAGUGGACGUCGGCCCGGCACGCAGACUCAAGACAGAAGCCCGCGUGCAUGCUGAUCCUUUCUCCUCUCACUCUUUCUCACUGUCGCCCACUUUUCCUCACUUCAGCCUGCACUCUCUGUCCUGAACCUCGCGCUUCUGCCCUCCGUCUCCUUUCUCACUGCCCGGCGGAUCCUUCCCCGCGGAGCACAGAACCCCUGAAGAACUGGAAGGAUUGCUGCCCUCCGGAGACCCGGUCGUGCAGACCAUGGCUAGUGACCGGGUAGCCAGCGUUAUGGGCCUAAGGGACAUAAGACUGAGACACACUAUGU